UGCUAGAUGUAUGUUCAUGAAGGUUUGUUCUGCUCUGGAUCUUGGCCUAAAGAAACAGCUGGAAGAAAAUUGAUGAGUCUUUGCCUUCUAGGUACUUGAAUUGGCAGGCAAUGCAUCAAAAGACUUAAAGGUAAAGCGUAUUACCCCUCGUCAUUUGCAACUUGCUAUUCGUGGAGAUGAAGAAUUGGAUUCUCUCAUCAAGGCUACAAUUGCUGGUGGUGGUGUUAUUCCACACAUCCACAAAUCUCUGAUUGGGAAGAAAGGACAACAGAAGACUGUCUAAAGGAUGCCUGGAUUUCUUAUUAUCUCAGGACUCUAAAUACUCUAACAGCUGUCCAGUGUUGGUGAUUCCAGUGGACUGUAUCUCUGUGAAAAACACAAUUUUGCCUUUUUGUAAUUCUAUUUGAGCAAGUUGGAAGUUUAAUUAGCUUUCCAACCAACCAAAUUUCUGCAUUCGAGUCUUAACCAUAUUUAAGUGUUACUGUGGCUUCAAAGAAGCUAUUGAUUCUGAAGUAGUGGGUUUUGAUUGAGUUGACUGUUUUUAAAAAACUGUUUGGAUUUUAAUUGUGAUGCAGAAGUUAUAGUAACAAACAUUUGGUUUUGUACAGACAUUAUUUCCACUCCGGUGGAUAAGCUCAAUAAAGGUCAUAUCCCAAACUA